GUCUAAGGCCGUGCCACCCUGAACACGCCCGAGCCCGUCUGAUCGCAGAAGCUCAGCAGGGUCGGGCCUGGUUAGUACUCGGAUGGGAGACCGCCUAGGAAGACCAGGUGCUGUGGGAG
rnacentral:rRNA from 1 species